rnacentral:rRNA from 1 species
GAUGAACGCUGGCGGCGUGCCUAAUACAUGCCAGUCGAGCGAACAGAUGAGGAGCUUGCUCCUCUGACGUUAGCGGCGGACGGGUGAGUAACACGUGGAUAACCUACCUAUAAGACUGGGAUAACUUCGGGAAACCGGAGCUAAUACCGGAUAAUAUAUUGAACCGCAUGGUUCAAUAGUGAAAGACGGUUUUGCUGUCACUUAUAGAUGGAUCCGCGCCGCAUUAGCUAGUUGGUAAGGUAACGGCUUACCAAGGCAACGAUGCGUAGCCGACCUGAGAGGGUGAUCGGCCACACUGGAACUGAGACACGGUCCAGACUCCUACGGGAGGCAGCAGUAGGGAAUCGUCCGCAAUGGGCGAAAGCUUGACGGAGCAACGCCGCGUGAGUGAUGAAGGUCUUCGGAUCGUAAAACUCUGUUAUUAGGGAAGAACAAAUGUGUAAGUAACUAUGCACGUCUUGACGGUACCUAAUCAGAAAGCCACGGCUAACUACGUG